GAUGAACGCUGGCGGCGUGCCUAAUACAUGCAAGUCGAGCGAAUGGAUUAAGAGCUUGCUCUUAUGAAGUUAGCGGCGGACGGGUGAGUAACACGUGGGUAACCUGCCCAUAAGACUGGGAUAACUCCGGGAAACCGGGGCUAAUACCGGAUAACAUUUUGAACCGCAUGGUUCGAAAUUGAAAGGCGGCUUCGGCUGUCACUUAUAGAUGGACCCGCGUCGCAUUAGCUAGUUGGUGAGGUAACGGCUCACCAAGGCAACGAUGCGUAGCCGACCUGAGAGGGUGAUCGGCCACACUGGGACUGAGACCCGGCCCAGACUCCUACGGGAGGCAGCAGUAGGGAAUCUUCCGCAAUGGACGAAAGUCUGACGGAGCGACGCCGCGUGAGUGAUGAAGGCUUUCGGGUCGUAAAACUCUGUUGUUAGGGAAGAACAAGUGCUAGUUGAAUAAGCUGGCACCUUGACGGUACCUAACCAGAAAGCCACGGCUAACUACGUGCCAGCCGCCGCGGUAA
rnacentral:rRNA from 1 species